rnacentral:lncRNA from 1 species
AUGAGGGUUCCAGAGAAGAGGAAGGUCAGAUGGGAGGAGGGAAGCAUAACUAAGGGGUACAGGGAGCCAAUUGGACAAAGUCUAGGCAUAAAGACCAAUCACCAAGCAAACAAAACAACAAAAAAAGAGAUCUCCUCAUCAGUGCCUGGCCCUACCACCAUCCAACUCAGCUGUCAACAGUCCCCACUCUGGCCAUUUCCAGCUUUUCCAAUGUGUAGAGUAUUAUAUUCUAGCCAGGGGAGACAUGUACAUAUACAGAGAGAAAAUGUAUUUCCAAUAGCAACAGCAACAAGGUCAGGUCAGUUCUCCAAGAUAAUGAGACAAGACAAAUUUUGCAGAUAUGAGAUGUACAAAAAUCAAGCAACAGGCCUUGGAGGAAUGACACACCUAUUGAGACUGUUGGAAAGAUCUGAAGGAAGGAAAAAUUCUAAAGAAAUUCCUUGA